CCCCUCUCAGGGUCCCACCUGGAGAGUUUCCAGUCCUCUACCAGUCUCGGUUACAGGAGGGAGAGUCAAGCAGAGGCCUGUCCGGUCCAUUCCUAGCUUGGGCAGUGUCUAGCGAGUGGAAGGAAAUCUGCAACAAGU